GAAUGGGGAUGUUGCUCAGCAGAUGUAGAGCUUUCUAGUCGUAGAGGAGGAUAGAUCAAUUUCUUGUUUCUUAUGAAGAAGGACGAUUUCUUUGUAGUGCUGCUGAGAGAUGUGAAUAUUUACAUCUUUGAGUUUAUCACCUCCAGAAUAAACCAACUGCUACAGAAUUUUCAAAAACAUCUCCUACUGUUGUGACCCAGUCCUCUGUGGUGGUUUUCUGAUGGACCAUGACUUGCUCUUGGAUUCUGCUGACUGGGUGAGGUAAAGAGAGGCAAAGAUAAGCAUCAUUCAGCUGUCACCCUUCUGCCCUUGGGGAGUUCUUUCGCUGAAGCUGUCUGGAGCAUAUGUAAAGUUGGAUUCACGUACCUGAUUGUAGAGCAAUGGUAACUUGUUUCACUGAUAGCUCUGGGAAAGGACAUAAUGAAUGCCCUUGGGAAAGAUGACGGUGACUUUGAGGCCUCAUGUUGUGGCUUAACCCCAGCAGGCAGCUCAGCACCACCCAGCCACAGGCUUAUUCCCCCAUAGUGGGAUGAGGAGGGAAUCAGAAAGUUCUCCAGAUCUGAAGAGUGAAGGUCCAGUUGAUCACCAAGGAGUCAUUUACUGUUUCUAUGCGCUCACUUUUGCUGUGUGACAGUUCUGUAUGGAUUACAAUGGCCGUGAUAUUUUUAAAGCAUAUUGUCAUUUUUUUUCUUUCUCAUUUUCUUAUUUUUCUCGCAGCUGAAGCACUUAAUGUAUCUCUCCUAUCUUUUGCAUAUAUAAUGUUCAACUGUGUAAAUUGUUAAUCUUUCCCAUUAUUUGGCUUGUUUUACUGAAGGCAGUAACCACUCUUAAGUAUUCAAUGCUCAUACAAAAUAAAAAAUAAUUCAGAUUUAUUCCAUCUAUUUAAAACUGCUCAUAUAUUUGUAGUAUCUCAAGUUCUACUGCCUCUAUUCCCUGAAAGAGCAGAUUUUCUCUUAAUCCCUGGAGACUGCAUAAUAUUAGGAAGUCAUUAGUGGUGAGCAUCCAUGUUAUUAAGCCUUAUGAACAACUUUUGAAUAGUGUUGCAUGUAUCUUUAUUGGAGCUCUAUAUGUUAGUCAUCUACCUCCACAGAAAUUUCUGCAGUUCUGUACUUCUGAAGUAUCCAAACAGCACUGUUAAGAUUAUGACCAUAAAGCAAACCUUGGAAAGUCACAUGCAAGUCUUGAAGAUGUGUGCAUGGGUAUUCUGGGAGGAAGACAACUCUUUGCAGUGGCCCCAACUCCACUCAGUGCAGUUCAGCUCCAUCCUGUCAUCCUCCUCUCCCAGACAUGCUUACCUGUUGCCACUGUCUUGAAAUGACAAAGUCCCACUCUAGGAUGUUUGUGUAAUGGCCCUAUAUGUAUGCCCGCUCUGGGAGGUUUGCCUGCCAGAGCAGCCUGAUUCCCUGGGGAUCAUGGGAGAGGUGCCCCACAUUCUUACUCUGCUCCCUGUCUGGAGGUGAUGGGAUGGAGCUUGGAUGGCAGUGCCAUACACUGCCAGCUCCUUAUCUGAAGAUGUUACAAGGUAGUAUCUUCAAAAAUGAAUUACAGGAACACAUGACCAAGGUUACAAAACUAUAGUCUUGAGGUACAGGGAAAAUUUUCAGAGCAAGACAUAUUGAAAUGAGUUUUUAAAUUGUGAAUGUCGACUUUCUAGAUGAUUUGAUAUUCCCUGUGCUUUUGUAAGUAAGCUUUUAUUAUUUCUGUACUUCCAAAGUGAAUCCUUUUUCAUUCAUAAAAUUAUCUGAUUUUAUAUUCCAGGGUAGUAGCUGGGUCACAUCAGGUGCUGAAGCAAAUGUACUGACAUCUGAAUUAGCUCUCUGAUCUUGCUAAGAAUGUAACUCAGAUGAACAUGACAGCAAUUGAUUUUUAUAUACCCUCUUUUUAUACAAUCUAUGACACCUUACAUCUGCAGUUUCCCAUUAUAAAUUUUGAAGAAGUUUAAUCUCAGAGAAAGCUUUAUUCAAACAUUGUGCUUAUAGAUGAACAGCAUGCACUCUUUUCCUUUGUUUAAAGCAAUGCAAUUUUGUUUUCAUAUACUUCUGCUUCACCAGUGUAAUCCAUUAAUACGUUUUCAGAAACAUAAAUCAGAAUAUCUCUUCCUAUACUGUGCACAUUUUCCAUAAUAAGAUCCGAGCAUGACUCUGAGGGGAUUUUUUAUCAAUAUCUUCUGAGGUUUUUAUAUUUAAUUUUUUUUUUUUUUCAAGCAAUCCUGUUGCAAAUCAGUCUUUGAGGACUGGUAAUAAUAACAGUGAGUUCUUAGCAGUUGUCUCACACAACCAUACAUCUAGUGACUGGUGCUUGUUCAACAAUGUCUGCCCUAUAAAAGAUGUAAUGAAGUUGAGUGAUCUCUAAGGAAUAUGAUACUCUGCACUUUCCAGCAUCACUGGCUGUAAUAUUGUUGCUUGGAACUCUGCAUUCAUAAUUUUGUUAUCCCUGUCAGAACAUCAAAUGCAAUUUUGAUGGAAAGGUGGGGUCUAAUUUUUCCAAUUACUCGUUGCUUUGUUGAAACUCAUCCUUAUUGUUGCUCUUGAAGAUGAAGAAGUAUAUGCAAAAUUUCUUUGGAGUACAAACAAAAUGAAGCAUGAUAAUUAAGAUCUUCUUCCAACUACAGCUUUUCCAUAUAUUCUUCUCUAAAGUGAUGUUUUAUAUUCAUAAUACGUUAAACAUUAAGUGCUGAAAACACAUUAAAAACAUUUUCAAAAUGCUUUCACUUUUCACCUGUAAUUGAGUCAUCAAUAUUAGCAACCAGCUAUGAAACUAAUUUGGCUUAUUGUGUUACUCAUCCUCACAUCUUAAUUAAUGAUUAAUAAUCUUACUGACAUUAAAAGGUUCCUUUUGAAAUGUAACUACUGCAUUGUAAUACUAUGCUAUGACUGUCUCCAAAAUUAUCUGUGCCAUAAUAUUUCUUUGUAAUUAAAAUAAUAGGUUUAUAUUUGCAGCUGGACAAGCAGGCAAGUCUGUGAAGCCUAAUAUGUUCAUAUGUAUUAAAAGAUCAUCUGUGAUAGACAAGGGAAUUAAACAUCAUGAUAUGGUUUAUUCCUCCAGAAAAUGAACUCUGUACUCGAAUGUUUUAUGGAUUUUGCCAGCUGCUUACCUUCCUCCAUCUUCUGUAUAUCCCUUGCAAAGAUAAUGUUUCUUUGUUUAAAUCCCACUGUUUCUGGGAAAUCACAAAAUCAGUGUUUUUCCUUUAUGCUAGCAGUACUGUAGACAUUACGUCAAGUCAAUUGUAGGAUGAUGCAAAUAUAUUAAUGUGUACAUGAAGUUCAUUUUGUACGAUACAUUAUUCAUUUAAUGGGCUACUGAGUGAGGUUGAAGUCUGAACUUCUCCCAGCACUCCCAAGGAGGACUGUUGUGUGGUUUAUGUAUCCAUCAUCUUUACAUGGAAUUUCUCCUUUAGGGGAGGUUUAGGUUGGUUAUAAGGAAAAAAGUUCUUCACUGAGAGCAUGGUUGGCCACUGCAACAGGCUUCACAUGGCAGUGGUCAUAGCACUGUGCUUGUCACAGUUCAACAAGCAUAUGGACAACACUCUUAGUUGUAUGGUCUUGAUUUUGGGUGGUACUAUGUGAAGCCAGGAGCUCGACUUGAUGAUCUUCAUGGGUCCCUUCCAACUCAGGAUUUUCUAUGAUUCUAUGAUUCUAUUAUCAUACAAUGUGGCAAUUAGACUAGGGAUGUGCUUUAGGUCCUGAAGAUUAUCUCCUUUUAAUGGAUUUUGAGGAGAUAUGAGCAAAAUGUUCAUGUUUUUAAGGAGCAGUAUAGUAGCCUAAAUGCUCUGUUCACUUCUGAAAACUAUAUUUGAAUGAGUGGUGUUUAAUUUUUCCCUCCUGAAACAGAAACAGCAGCAUUUUGGUCACACUAGGCAUCCAGUUUCUUCUUUACAAGCUGGACUACUACACAUAAAAUCAAGUGAUUUUUCUUGCAUUUGGUUGUCUUUACAGGUGAAAUGAGUCAGUUUACUUUCUAUACACCAGUUUAUCUUAGACAUCAACUCAUAAUUUACUCCUUGCUGUAUUACUUGUAUCUUACUGAUUUUCAGCAAAGUACAGUGAAUGUACAAGAUGAGUCAAGACCACUCCAUAGCCCAAAAGGCAAUCCAAGCAAUGUCUCAUACAAACAUUUUCACUGCUUCUCAUGACUCUUCUUUCCUUAAUGAACUAAUCUGUAAUCAGUGAUAGAUAUGAUCUGGGGAUAGAAAACCUCUAGAAAGAAUUUGCCUUAAGAAAUGGUACACCUUCCUUUGAGCAGUUAUUACUUUUCAUUCUGUGCAUCUUCAUUUGUGUCUUUAACAUCUGGAAAUACCUUAAUAAAUUAACUUUAUUUUUUCUGUAGUCCCACUAUCACUAUGCCAUUAUCAUUUUCAGUUUUAACAAUUAAUUACUUACAAUUUAAUGCAAUAAUAUUUCAGUUUUUGAAAAACAGAAGUAGUUGUUGGUUCUAGAUCCAAUUCCUAUAGAGCAGUAAGACGAAAAAAAUCAGAGAAUUGACCAAAUGUACAAACCCAAAUUUACAAACCCAAACUUCCACUCAUUGAG
ensembl:lncRNA